ensembl:lncRNA
AAGUCACAUUCUGGAUGGCCAUGCAGAUUGUUACAAGCGCAGCAUGCAGGCUCUUUUUCAUCACUGGUGAAAAUGCCUUGCUAAUGGUGACUGUGUUGAAAAAAUUUGUUUUGUAGCUGAGACUUUGCUCUAUCAACUAGUGUUCUUGUGCUCAUUGUAGCCGUUGUAGUUUCCAUGGAAAUAAACAGGAGGCAUUACUUUCGGAGCAACCUAAAUAGUUUUCAAGUAUCUGGAAGUAUUUUUACACUGGUUCUAGGAAGGUUUAUUUGCAUUGCUUUUUCUUCACUUGCAUUGCUUUACAAGUUUUUUGUUUUUUUUUUUUUCCCCAGAGCACCUACCCUUUAAAAACAUCAACAAAUGGUGACCUCUGGAUGCUACUCACAGUGUAGUCACUAAGACAAGAUUGUGAGAAUAACUGACAUUCUUGUUAUCUUGAUAACACUUUGUUAUCGUUCAAGAAAUCAUCUUGGAUUGAUUGGAAAUGGAAGUGAGAUGCCUUCUGCCUUCUUCCCACUCAUGUGGCUGCAGGCCCUCUGGAACAGAGCUCCAGACCAGAUGCAGCCUAUGGGCCACAGAUUCCCACCCUGACCAAAAAGGGAAGCUUUCUCCUGGAAGGAUGAUGGCAGAGGAGAAAAUGCAGCAGCCCUGGGCAACGAGCAAGGUCUGCAGUCUGGCAGUGCAGCUCAGCAGAUCUCUGAGAUGUGAAGUCAUCUAAGUGGAGCCACCCUACGCGUGUCAAACGAACUGACAGAUUGCAAGUGUGCUUCCUCACAUUUUGGUUUCACUGAGUCAGCAAGCCUUGCAUGGGGUGGUUCCUCUGUUCACUGAGAUUUUACCAGUCUUCCAAUUAAAUUCCCUUUCCACCAAUAUGAACUUGACAUUCUUUGGAAGAGGUCACAUGCCGGUUCGCACACCUGCAGGGAUUACAGUAGAGCUGCUCAUUAUUCCAGCCCUCUUGUCUGGGUAGACAUACUUACACCAAGGAUGUACCUCCUGUGGUUAUUUUCUCUCUGAGGUGAGGGAGGUAAAAUUGUUUGCCUAGUAUAUACCAAUCAUUUCCCUCAUGGUAAUGGGCAAAUACCUGCUUGCUGCUGGCUUUCCUUCAUGGAACUUGCAAUGCUGCUCAAUUUUUCCAUUUAUUUACUCAGCCUGUAGGGCACUGUAUUCCGGUUUCAUUCUUUAGGUUUCUUUGAAGCCAAUGAAGCAGGACUGGCUCUUGAAAGUGCAGAAGUUGGGAUUCAAUCCAUAUUUAUAUGCCAUUGCUGUAAAUGUGGAGACUGUAUUAAAGGGCUGAUCAGGCACGAAAAAAGACUUUAACUAAUUUAAGUCAGCAGGAAACCUUUUGUUUUUUACUUUAUAGAUUUUUCUGCAGUUGCUCAUCCUGAAAAUUUGGCAAUAGGUUUCUGAUAAUUCAAAGUCAAAUCUUGUACCAUAGUCAUGAGUAGAAGGAAAUAAAUGAUUUGAAUAUUAUCAGUUAUGCUUGAAAAAUGAGUGGUUCUUCCACUACUUCCAAACCAAAAGAAUACUUCCCAUUAAUCAAGUUGGAAGACUGUGUCUCAUGCUUCAUUCUAGUUUAUGUAUUCGGUCCUCUUUUCCUUGAUCCUACCUGUAGAGCCAUGUGUUUUCUAUAUUUCCUCUGUUCCAUUUACACUGCAAAUGAUUAUAAUUUCUGUUACACAAAAAAACCUGAGCUGCCACAACCACUACC